UCACAGAUGGAGGGUCCCAGGGCCUAGGA
rnacentral:piRNA from 1 species